rnacentral:lncRNA from 1 species
CAUUUUCUUAGCAAAAGACAGGGAAAAUAAUACUCAGAUUUUAAACAAUUUCAGAUGAUUUUUGCUUAGAAGAAAAGUGCAUUUGUCUUUGAAAAAGGAAGGUGCUGAGGACUGCCUUUGACAGAAACAGCUUCAUGGGAACUCUCAGAUGCUGACACACUGACCCUCCGUGCUUGGCUGCAGUUUCCAAGAAAUUAUUUGGGGCAUAUGGAGGGAAUGUCAGUGUAACAGUAUUGGCUUGUGAAGAGAGCUUGGAAUUCAAAUUCCCCUUGUGAAGGAGAUGUACUGAUGCUGGCAACACAGAACACUUUCUCUG